UGUAGCUGCAAAGGGUAGCACAAACAGUUAUUAGAUUUAGAGGCAAUUAAUUUUUCACGUAGUGCCAGGCAGGUUUGGACAGCUUUUUUCCCUUAACAAAUAAA